GAUGAACCUUCAGCCUCUGUCCCACUGAAUGCCAGGGGGCUGUCACAAUUACAGGAAAACCAAAAGUCUGCUACCUCCCAGACUCCUAGACACUCAAAGGUCACUUAGGGAGCAGCACCUGGGACACAAGCUCUGGAAGAUGAGGAAGGAUGAUGUAUUUAGGGUGGUCCUUGACAAGUGGGGUCUCAUCCAGAGGAAGGAAUCAGAAUGAUGAGGGAACUGAAAGAUCAUGGGAGGAACAGUUGGGUUUUGUUCUGUUUCUGGAAUCUCUCUUUUCCUAAUCAUCUCCAGACCGCUCCAAAUCCAACUCCUCUCCACUGGACAAUUGGACUCCACCACUGGAACCACCCUAGGCUUUGAGAGGCAUGAAAGAUGCCUUCACCUGGAGGAGACUCCUGUGACUCCUGGACCAAAGGAUUAGCGCUAACUGAAGGUCCUCUGGCACCACCAGAAGAGGAUGGGGAAGGGAAUUGUGCCGUUGAUGCAAUCACAGAACUUGAGGCUACACCAUGAAAGCUACAGAAGGAGCAGGGCUAACCAUGAGAACUUAGACUUUAUGGCCAAGGUGGUGAGGGGAAAUGGAGCAUUAGGAGCAUCAGCCUAAAUGCUGGGUUGCCUAGCCCUCUCUUCCCCAGUCCCAUCUCCUUCAUACUGCAAAUGCAAAAGAUUGUGAGUGAUUGCCCCCUUUUCCCCAAAUCUCCAUUACCCCACCCCUGUCCCGGAAGGGUGGGACUAUUUCCUGAAAGUUAUCUCCAUUUUUUAAAAGAGUUUAUGAUUUGUGUGUACACUCUG
rnacentral:lncRNA from 1 species